rfam:Ralstonia eutropha high affinity nickel transporter (hoxN) gene, complete cds; IS881, complete sequence; and group II intron, complete sequence.
GGGAGAAGGCCUCCCGGAGUCGGCUUGCAGGAGCAGAUUCCAAACCACCCGGUGCUGCUGCGUUCAAAAGGCGUGGUGGUGAGCGACCGGGGACGUCAUCCGCAGAGGAUGGCGGG